GAUGAACGCUAGCGGCAGGCUUAACACAUGCAAGUCGAGGGGUAUAGUAGCAAUACUAGAGACCGGCGCACGGGUGCGUAACGCGUAUGCAAUCUACCUUAUACAGGGGGAUAGCCCAGAGAAAUUUGGAUUAAUACCCCAUAGUGUUAUUUGAUGGCAUCAUUAUAUAACUAAAGUUCCAACGGUAUAAGAUGAGCAUGCGUCCUAUUAGCUAGAUGGUAAGGUAACGGCUUACCAUGGCUACGAUAGGUAGGGGUCCUGAGAGGGAGAUCCCCCACACUGGUACUGAGACACGGACCAGACUCCUACGGGAGGCAGCAGUGAGGAAUAUUGGACAAUGGGCGCAAGCCUGAUCCAGCCAUGCCGCGUGCAGGAAGACGGUCCUAUGGACUGUAAACUGCUUUUGUACGGGAAGAAACACUCCCUCGUGAGGGAGCUUGACGGUACCGCAAGAAUAAGGAUCGGCUAACUCCGUGCCAGCCGCCGCAGUAAGAC
rnacentral:rRNA from 1 species